CCAAUAGCGUAUAUUAAAGUUGUUGCAGUUAAAAAGCUCGUAGUUGAACUUCGGGGUUUAUUCAUAAUUGUCUGUACUGAUGAGGUGAAUCUCUACCUUCUGAGAAACUUUUAUGACAUUUAUUUGGUGUGAUUAGAAAUCAGGACUGUUACUUUGAAAAAAUUAGAGUGUUUAAAGCAGGCUAACAUCUGAAUAUAUUAGCAUAGAAUAAUGAAAUAGG
rnacentral:rRNA from 1 species